GACAGAGGGUGCAAACGUUGUUCGGAAUUACUGGGCGUAAAGCGCGUGUAGGCGGCCCUGCAAGUCGGAUGUGAAAUCCCACGGCUCAACCGUGGAAGUGCAUUCGAAACUGCAGGGCUAGAGUCCUGGAGAGGAAGGUGGAAUGCUUGGUGUAGAGGUGAAAUUCGUAGAUAUCAAGCGGAACACCGGUGGCGAAGGCGGCCUUCUGGACAGUGACUGACGCUGAGACGCGAAAGCGUGGGUAGCAAACAGG
rnacentral:rRNA from 1 species